rnacentral:rRNA from 1 species
UUUACAGGCUUAACACAUGCGAGUCGAGGGGCAGCAUGGUCUUAGCUUGCUAAGGCCGAUGGCGACCGGCGCACGGGUGAGUAACAUGUAUCCAACCUGCCGUCUACUCUUGGACAGCCUUCUGAAAGGAAGAUUAAUACAAGAUGGCAUCAUGAGUCCGCAUGUUCACAUGAUUAAAGGUAUUCCGGUAGACGAUGGGGAUGCGUUCCAUUAGAUAGUAGGCGGGGUAACGGCCCACCUAGUCUUCGAUGGAUAGGGGUUCUGAGAGGAAGGUCCCCCACAUUGGAACUGAGACACGGUCCAAACUCCUACGGGAGGCAGCAGUGAGGAAUAUUGGUCAAUGGGCGAGAGCCUGAACCAGCCAAGUAGCGUGAAGGAUGACUGCCCUAUGGGUUGUAAACUUCUUUUAUAAAGGAAUAAAGUCGGGUAUGCAUACCCGUUUGCAUGUACUUUAUGAAUAAGGAUCGGCUAACUCCGUGCCAGCAGCCGCGGUAAUACGGAGGAUCCGAGCGUUAUCCGGAUUUAUUGGGUUUAAAGGGAGCGUAGAUGGAUGUUUAAGUCAGUUGUGAAAGUUUGCGGCUCAACCGUAAAAUUGCAGUUGAUACUGGAUAUCUUGAGUGCAGUUGAGGCAGGCGGAAUUCGUGGUGUAGCGGUGAAAUGCUUAGAUAUCACGAAGAACUCCGAUUGCGAAGGCAGCCUGCUAAGCUGCAACUGACAUUGAGGCUCGAAAGUGUGGGUAUCAAACAGGAUUAGAUACCCUGGUAGUCCACACGGUAAACGAUGAAUACUCGCUGUUUGCGAUAUACGGCAAGCGGCCAAGCGAAAGCGUUAAGUAUUCCACCUGGGGAGUACGCCGGCAACGGUGAAACUCAAAGGAAUUGACGGGGGCCCGCACAAGCGGAGGAACAUGUGGUUUAAUUCGAUGAUACGCGAGGAACCUUACCCGGGCUUAAAUUGCAGAUGAAUUACGGUGAAAGCCGUAAGCCGCAAGGCAUCUGUGAAGGUGCUGCAUGGUUGUCGUCAGCUCGUGCCGUGAGGUGUCGGCUUAAGUGCCAUAACGAGCGCAACCCUUGUUGUCAGUUACUAACAGGUUCCGCUGAGGACUCUGACAAGACUGCCAUCGUAAGAUGUGAGGAAGGUGGGGAUGACGUCAAAUCAGCACGGCCCUUACGUCCGGGGCUACACACGUGUUACAAUGGGGGGUACAGAGGGCCGCUACCACGCGAGUGGAUGCCAAUCCCAAAAACCUCUCUCAGUUCGGACUGGAGUCUGCAACCCGACUCCACGAAGCUGGAUUCGCUAGUAAUCGCGCAUCAGCCACGGCGCGGUGAAUACGUUCCCGGGCCUUGUACACACCGCCCGUCAAGCCAUGGGAGCCGGGGGUACCUGAAGUGCGUAACCGCGAGGAGCGCCCUAGGGUAAAACUGGUGACUGG